rnacentral:rRNA from 1 species
UCUUGAUCCAGAGAACUUUCCAGAGAUGCUUUGGUGCCUUCGGGAACUCUGAGACAGGUGCUGCAUGGCUGUCGUCAGCUCGUGUUGUGAAAUGUUGGGUUAAGUCCCGCAACGAGCGCAACCCUUAUCCUUUGUUGCCAGCGGUUAGGCCGGGAACUCAAAGGAGACUGCCAGUGAUAAACUGGAGGAAGGUGGGGAUGACGUCAAGUCAUCAUGGCCCUUACGAGUAGGGCUACACACGUGCUACAAUGGCGCAUACAAAGAGAAGCGACCUCGCGAGAGCAAGCGGACCUCAUAAAGUGCGUCGUAGUCCGGAUUGGAGUCUGCAACUCGACUCCAUGAAGUCGGAAUCGCUAGUAAUCGUAGAUCAGAAUGCUACGGUGAAUACGUUCCCGGGCUGUUACACACCGAU